UACAGAGGGUGCGAGCGUUGUCCGGAAUUACUGGGCGUAAAGGGCGCGUAGGCGGCCCGAUAAGUAGGAGGUGAAAUUCCGUGGCUUAACCACGGAGCUGCCUUCUAGACUGUCAGGCUUGAGCACGGUAGAGGCAGAUGGAAUUCCCGGUGUAGCGGUGGAAUGCGUAGAGAUCGGGAAGAACACCAGUGGCGAAGGCGGCUCACUGGCCCGGUACUGACGCUGAGGUGCGAAAGCGUGGGGAGCAAACAGG
rnacentral:rRNA from 1 species